rnacentral:rRNA from 1 species
CUACAGGGGUAUCUAAUCCCGUUUGCUACCCACGCUUUCGCGCCUCAGCGUCAGUUCCGGCCCAGGGGACCGCCUUCGCCACUGGUGUUCCUCCCAAUAUCUACGCAUUUCACCGCUACACUGGGAAUUCCGCCCCCCUCUUCCGGACUCGAGCCUUGCAGUUUCUUCCGCACGUCCUCGGUUGAGCCGAGGGAUUUCACGGAAGACACGCAUGGCCGCCUACGCGCCCUUUACGCCCAAUAAUUCCGAAUAACGCUGGCCCCCUCUGUAUUACCGCGGCUGCUGGCAC